CACGUAGGGCGCGAGCGUUUGUCCGGAAUUAUUGGGGCGUAAAGAGCUCGUAGGCGGCCUGUUGCGUCCGCUGUGAAAGCCCCGGGGCUUAACCCCGGGUCUGCAGUGGAUACGGGCAGGCUAGAGGUAGGUAGGGGAGAAUGGAAUUCCCGGUGUAGCGGUGAAAUGCGCAGAUAUCGGGAGGAACACCGGUGGCGAAGGCGGUUCUCUGGGCCUUACCUGACGCUGAGGAGCGAAAGCGUGGGGAGCGAACAGG
rnacentral:rRNA from 1 species